rnacentral:rRNA from 1 species
GACGAACGCUGGCGGCGUGCCUAAUACAUGCAAGUAGAACGCUGAAGCUUGGUGCUUGCACCGAGCGGAUGAGUUGCGAACGGGUGAGUAACGCGUAGGUAACCUGCCUGGUAGCGGGGGAUAACUAUUGGAAACGAUAGCUAAUACCGCAUAAGAGUAGAUGUUGCAUGACAUUUGCUUAAAAGGUGCAAUUGCAUCACUACCAGAUGGACCUGCGUUGUAUUAGCUAGUUGGUGAGGUAACGGCUAACCAGGGCAACGAUACAUAGCCGACCUGAGAGGGUGGACGGCCACACUGGGACUGAGACACGGCCCAGACUCCUACGGGAGGCAGCAGGAGGGAAUCUUCGGCAAUGGACGGAAGGCUGACCGAGCAACGCCGCGUGAGUGAAGAAGGUUUUCGGAUCGUAAAGCUCUGUUGUAAGAGAAGAACGAGUGUGAGAGUGGAAAGUUCACACUGUGACGGUAUCUAACCAGAAAGGGACGGCUAACUACGUG